GAAAAGUUUUAUUCUUGCUUAAAUAUUUAUUUAGUCAUUAUUGUACAUGUAAGUUUUUGCGUGAGUCUUUUAUAUUUUAAAAAGUAUAGAAGGAGAAGAGUUGGAAGUAAAAUUUUGUUUGAUUCGCAGUAUAAGGUAUUAUGAAUUUAAGAGAUUAUGAUUUAGUAAUUGUUAUUUAAUGUUGAUGAAAUAUGUGCCAGCAGUCGCGGUUAUACAUAGAACAUAAGUAAAUAUUUUCAGUUUAGUAGUUAGUUGUGUAUUUGAAUAGAUUUUGAUUAUUAUUUGGUGGAAUAGUUAAUAUUUGUGGUGUAUUUAAUUGAUAGUAUUGAAUGAAGCUAUGAAAUCUAAUAUAUUUAGACUAGGAUUAGAUACCCUAUUAUUUUGGAUGUAAAAAAUGUUGGACUUGAGUAGUAGUAGUUAGGAUCUUGAAACUUAAAGAAUUUGGCGGUAUUUUAAUCUAUUUAGAGGAAUCUGUCCCGUAAUCGAUAAUCCGCGUUGGACCUUACUUAGUCUGAUUUAAUAUGUAUACCGCUGUUGUUGAAGAUCUUUUUAGGGUGAAAAAUUUUCUUAAGGUUUAAUGGAUAGAUUUUCAGGUCAAGGUGCAGUUAAUGGUUAAGUGGAGAUGGAUUACAAUAUUUAUGAAUAUAUGGAUUAUUAAUUGUAAUAUAUUGAUAUGAAGGUGGAUUUAAUAGUAAUGUUGUGUAGAUUGUCAAUAUGAUUGUAGCUCUAGAGUAUGCACACAUCGCCCGUCGCUCUCAUUAUUAUUUAAGAUGAGAUAAGUCGUAACAGAGUAGUUGUACCGGAAGGUGUAGCUAGAAUGAAGA
rnacentral:rRNA from 1 species